ensembl:lncRNA
UUUUUUUUUUUUUUUUUUUUUUUCAGAAGAAGAAACUGGCAUUUGCUGAUAAGAAUUAUUCUUUUUCUAACUCUUGAAUUUGUAUGUAGGGCCAGGUAAAAUGAAUUACGUAUAAUGAACAAGGGCAGCUACAAGUGAAUAUCAGAGGGACCAGAGAAAACAGCAUGUAUAUCUGCUCCAAGCUUUUUGCAUUGGUGGAGAGCCACUAACACACAGAGCAGAAAUAGUACAUGAAGGCUCGUGACUUGUUCUAUGUUCUCAUUAGCUUCAGCUGUUUAGUAAAUAGACUGUUCUUAGCCUGGCAAGUGGAUUUUUUUUUUUUUUUUUUUUGCACUCAUUUAUCUUGAGCCAAGUAGUAGAUAGCAAUCUAUCUUGAAGACAGUCAGUUCUAGAUGCACUGCAGAAAGACAGAGGGAAUUCCUUUCUUCUUGGCAGUAGGUUUUAUGAAAGUGCAUAGACUGAACACGUCUGACUAUGUGCCAUGCUGGCAUAAGUAAAGGAUAGAAUGGCUGAAGUUUCUCCAAGCAUUACCUGCAGUCAUAUUUGAAAUUAUUUUGUCCAAGUUGCUUUUCAUUUAAUUCUCAUCAUAUACUGUGAUACCUGUAUGACUGUGGACGUACAUCAGCACGUCUUUGGCUUAUUGUUUAUAGCUGAUUUAUCCAGAAUCUGCAUGUAUGUUUUGUGGAGGCAUCCUUAGCCACGUAGGACUGUGUGACGGUGCUCUAAAGAGACUACAAGGAGCUGCCUCCAUGGAAUUCAGAUGUAAAGUAAGACAGUUCAUUAUGUUUCAAGUGAUUUUUGCUAAAACAUAGAAUUAAAUGUAAGCAUGAGUUGAAUUUAAGCACCGUAACAUUCCAAAAGCAGUGGGUUUUCUUUGUUGGAUGCUCCCUACCCCAAUCAUGUCCUGUAAGUUUCUGUGAAAUACUUCACACAUACUGAGUGCCCUUUUAAAUUAAUAAUCCCCUUAAGAUGAUAAACAGAAAAUUCCUCUUUCUAUUCAUCAGAGACUUGCUCAUCUUUCCAGUGGAGACUACAGUAUGAAUACAAGUUACCCUACAGAUUUUUGUAACAAGUGUCAACUUAAACCAGUUUUACUACUAGCUUCAGUAUUUGUUUUUAGUAAGCAAAGUAUUUAUUGAAACAUUACCUUGUGUAUAAUGACCUAAUGCACAGAUUUCUCCCUUCCCAAAUUUCCAUUCUUUCUACUGAAGUCUAAACUGCAGUAAUUAUUUUAGCUGUAAGACAGCCACGUGUAUGAUCUAUAAAUAUUUCUAUUACAAACCAUUUGCUGCUUCUAUUAAAAUAUACUUAGUGUUUAAUAAAACCUUCUAUUUCUCUGCAGCUUUUCUGGCACAAGACUUAAAGGGCAUAAAACUUGCCUGUUUGUGAAAUUAUGUACACUUACCCACACUGAGAACAUUUAGGUAAGUGGUUGUAUGUGAGUAUAUAAGUGAUCACAGCUGUUUUCUGCAUACUACACACACACAAAAAAGUAUAAUUUGUAGUGUUGUUCUAAAAACUUAUGUCAGCAAGUUGACAUUGAUGAAACUAUACAUUUUGCUUUGUAUAUAGUUAUAAUAGUAAAUAUUAUAAUUUCAAAUAUUAACAUUUGCAAUAAAAUUUCCAUAUUCCACAGCAUUUUAAAAUAUCAUUGUGAUUCAUUAACAUUUGCUAAAUAAGUGAUCAACUGUUGGAGUAGGAUUGUGGCAGUGCCCUAUGAUAGUAAUCAACAUACUCAUACUUGGCUCUAACUGAAUUUCAGGUCAUAGUUCUGUGACAGUUAAGAAAGAUCUACCUAUUGCUUGAUCAUCUAACAAUAUAAACUUAGUUGAGGUUGCCAUUUUCAUCUUCAUCUUCCAAGACCAAUGUGCCACUUCGGGGCCAAAUCUGCACAGAGUUUGGACUGUUUAAACACUUAUUUACCUUCUGGUUACUUCCCUAUAACUGACCUUUUAACUAAUGCACCUUUGUCAUGGUGUGGAAAACUUCCUGGAGGGGAAGGCUGUGAGCACUGCUGAUGAGGUCUGGCAUUUUUGGACCUAGCAGAAGGCCCACGUGAGGUAGCAGAAGUGCUUCAGUGUUAGAAGUAGGGAUCCCAGGGCAUCACGCCUGGAUUUCCCCACCACACAGCUUGGAUGACUGCACUGACCCACCUGACUUUCUUCUGGGCCACAUCAUCUUCCCUGCUGCAGGAUAGCAAGCUCAUGUGACUUCUUAACAUUUAAUAUUUAUCUGUGACUAGAAAUGCAUUAGUAUCAAAGUCCAUUUAGCCUCCUUACCAUUAAUUUGGUCUUAAGCUAUUCUUGGGGGGCAAUGACAAUAGAAAGAAACAGAACAGAGGACAGAGAUCUCUUCUGAACAUACGAAGUGUUCAAGUAGUACGCAAGCAUCCAGUGAAAUUCUGGAGAUGAUACACACUUCAGAAGAUCUCUGGUCCCCUGAGCUCAUGGUAAACAGUGAAGCAUGCUAGACUUUCCUCAAUUGGGUAGCUUUUCUCUGUGAUAAACACAUCUCUCUCUCUUUCUUCCUGUCCCCAUGUAUCCAAUCCUCUGAAGAGCAAUUUCUUCUUUUGGCUAAGGCAUAUAGUUUUUGUUCCUAGCAGUUCACCCAAUACUCUUUGGGCAAGAAAAUAUGCCCCAAAAGACUAUCCUUGCCACUCCAAAGUUCCCAUAAAAAGUGAUUUGCUAGCCUUCCAGCCAGAAAAAAUGCACAGUGUAUCCAGAUAGGCUAUCAAGGCUGCUUGCUGAUAGAGUCAAGUCUGCUCAUUCUUAGGAUGACAAGAAGGUGACAGAGUUGCUACUAUAGAAGGCAUGCGUGGGCAUACUGAAUUUGUGGAGAGAGAAGUGAUGGCUGCUGUAGCUGACAGAAAAUCUCACUGUUAUGGGAAAUGUCUAGAGACAGAGCUUCACUCUCCUGAGCUAAAAUCCUAUCCCCUCUGAUACACCAUCUCCAAUUUGUCACAUGAUUAACAAUUAGUUGGGGAAAAGAGAAAUGCCAACUUUUCACACAUGGCUUUAGUUUACCACCAGUUUUUGACCAGAAUUGAUGUCCAAGUCAUUUGCAUUUCCUUCUUCAAAAUUGAGUUGGGCAGUUCCAAAGAGAGGAAAGUAUCAGGCCAGACCAGAAGGAGGCAGAUGGUACAGCCUCUGUUUAGAGCCACAGAGACAGAGCACGUCAUAAAGAUGUGGCAACUGCAGCUAUGUAGCUCAUACAGAGGCCAAAGGAAAAAAAAGACGAUUAAAAACAACAACAAAAAGGAGGUGAUCACAAGUUUCUGAACAUUUGGAUAGGUCAGGAUCUGUGACAAAGAUAAUAAAAUCUGUUGAGUGAAUGUUCUGUGAGUAUCCAAUGAAAAAAGGAAUGAGGAUAGGGAAUCUGAAAACUUAAACAAUAUAUCUGAGCAUAGAAAGUGAGAAUGACAAAAAUGAGCUAUUAAAAAGAAAUCUGGGCAAACUAGGAAAGGUCGAGUCAGGCACACAACAGCAGAACCACAGAAAGCCAGACAGCUUGAAGUUACCUGUCCCACAAAUUAAUGACCAACCCAUUUGAACAAUGUUGUAUUGACAGCUUGAGUUUAUACUGAUUCAGCCGCUAGAUCACGAUGUUUUUGUUUUGGUACUAGAUGUCCUGAAGUUUGAACUACUGUUUUGUAAGCUACGGACCACGGGAUGUGCUAAUGGUGUGCUUCCCACUUGCUCAAAUUGUUUCAGAUCACUUGUGUCAGUAGACAAUUCUAAGGCUCUUUGAGAAAGUGAUUACAGAAAUUUGAUGCAUACUUGAAUAAUAAUAAAGCAAAAAAGUACUGAAGACUAAGCCACCCGCUUAAACUUCAGCAACAUCUAAACUUACAGACUUACAGCAAUUACUUAUUUCAGACCAGUUAUGCAACUAUUUCUCAAGUGGCCUAAUUUGUAAUAAAACUCAGGACCAGCAGUUCCUAUUUAUUUCAAUACAAGUUGUGUAAUUCAACAAGAUUUGAAUAGCUGUGUUAAAAAAUGGUUAAUGCUAGCUGCUCCACUUUUCAGUUUCCACUGGAAGUUCAUAUUAAGCAAAGAUGUCCCUAGCUAUUUGUUUCUAUGGCGCUUUUUCUCCUCAGCAUUUAGUUCUUGCUGUAUUUGUCAGGAAAACAGGGAAAAAAAACACCAAAUACAUUUUGUAUGCUCAGGCCAUGGUCUCUAGUUCCCUUUUCACCCAGCUAACAGGGCUUAUCUUUUUCCACCACCUAUUUAUGUUGCUUUCAUUAACUUCUGUAUAUUCUCCAUGCUCAUUAGUGUUCUCUUGUUCUUCUUCAACUAAAGUAAGAACACAUUACCUCAGUCAGCAGUUGAAUAAACACAUCCAGCUUGGUGGUUCCCAAAUCCAUCUUGCUCACUACCCACUGCCGUCACUGUAGGUAGCAGUAGUAGAAGUUGCUGUACCAACAGCUUUCAGUAUCAGCCAGGACAAUCUGCUUGGCUACUCAGGAAUUAUCUACACACAGCUUUGCUUCAACACAUGUUAGAAUUUGGGAAUCUCAGUCUCAGCCCAAGGUGGAUACCAGAGCAUCUCUCCUUUUCCGAGAGCCUAUAAAAGCUGAAUCCUGAUUGCAGCAUUUCUUAGAUGCAGGAUUCCCAGCUGUCACCUAUGAGAGGAAAGAAAACAAUCUUAAGUGACUUUGAAUAUACGUGCAUAAAUACUGAUUGAAUUCAUUUGAGGUUCUCAUAGAAACUUACUAAUCUACAUGAUACAAGUAACUCGAUCAUAUACGUUUUCAUUAACUUAAAGAAUAAUGGUAAGCAGUAGCCCUCACUUUACACAUUUCCUUUCGAAAUCUACCGUGCAUUUAACUUAUAAUGCAGUGAAGAAAAAUAGUUUUUCACUGAUGCAGUGCUUUCAGAAUAUUCCUACAUUUCUUGCAAGCUUUGAGGAAAGAACCUGUAAAAACUGCUGUAAGUUUUGACAGUAAGCGUAAAACAAAGUAUGAAAAAAGCCAGCAUUUCUACUGCUUUACAAGAACCAUACUUCACAUUAUUUUAAAACUAAUUUAGCAAAGAUCUACUUUGUGAUAUACUGUGUUCUUAUACAACAAGAAAAAUCUUUUUUUUCCUUGUAUUGUGUGUCAUAGUAAACCCAUGCCAAAAUUGUUACCAUUCUGCUAUAGAAUUCUAAUAGCGACUCACCUUCUUUUUCAGAUAGUUGGUUUCUACUGAGCUUUGUUAUCCCACAUAUGUUCUUCUGCUGGAGCCUUUCAUGUCAGAAAACCUUUGAAGAGUGGGAGUAGCUCUUUAAAUUUAUCUGGAAGCAGUGGGGUUUCUUUUACAAUUGGCUGUUGCUGCUCACGUCGUUUUAUUUCAAGGUAGUAAAUGCUAUGAAUGUCAGAUUUUCAUGAAAAGAGACGUACCAUAUACUCUACCGAAGACCAUAUUUUUUCUGUCGAGAUCAUCUCCUCCUUGUGAAUCAGAACGGGAAAGCAAAGAAGCUCUUGGAAGCUCAAGGAAGAACAUCUUGCCCUUAGUUUCUUGAAAAGGUAUUUGUUCGUUCCAAAGACAUGCACGUGAACUCCUCAGGUCUGUUGCAUUUUGUUUGUUUUCCCACUUAUUAUUUCUGAUCACUCCUCUCAAAAUGCUCUGAACUGAGCUCUCCAGGAUGUAAGCAGUGAUGCUGGAGGAGUGCCCUCACAUAAGGACUGAAAAGGACAGUGAAAUCACUUGAAGCCACAGAGCAGCUAAAGUUCGAGAGAUUAUUUAGAGGUACUGUUCUUGGGGAUAUUAAAUGCUCAAAAUAGAACAUAAAACAUUUUUUUCAUAUUUCUAGUCGGAACAACUGUUCCCUGAAAUAAUGAUAUAUAUAUAUAUCAUGGUGAAGCACAGUACAGCAGUUACAGAAUCAGCUCUCGGAGCACCACGAAGACAGAGUACAGUUACAAGCAUUAGAGGCUGGCAUGUUAACCACCCCACGAGAAUGCAGCACAAGCUACAGCAAUCAAACAGAACACAAGGCACAUACUUUAGCUCUCAGCUGCUUCACCAAACCAGCACGGCUGCUUUCAGCCGCAAAGCCAAGUGGCUGUAUGGCAUGGCACAGCACGCAGCACUCCCAAGCCUCCCAUUAGGAUAAACACACUCCCACGGAGCACACAUGCAAAACACAGCACUCCCAAGCCUCUCUCCAACUUCUGUUUAAAUCUUCCCUGCUACUUUAUGAUUGCUUAUUAAAUGUUGCAUUUCAUAAGCAGGAUGAUCGCAGUAUCUGUCAUCCUGCCCUUGAUCUGUAUUAGUCCCACAUUGUUCAUGAGGGGCUGCCAUGCAAUUGCUAAGGUAGGUUCCCCCCAGGGUUGCUAACUGUGCCAGGGCCAGGCCUUGCUUAACAGGUUCUGUAAGAGAGCAACAUGAAGAUGCAAGCAAGUGAAACUACUUUUUACAUUCCCUCUAAAUUAGCAUGUUAAUAUGUUGGAUGCUGUGCUUUGCAUUUUCCCUCCUGCAAGUCUUUGCAGAUUAUAGAAAGCAGUAGUUAAUCUUUCAAAAGAGCAAAAAAAUAUUCUUCCCAAUUCCUUAUGUGCUUGUUUCAUCCUACAGAGUUAAAUUGGAAUUUAACAACAUUAAUAUCCUUACAACAGAAAUCCAUAGCAUAGCAACUAAACAACAUUUAAUCCUUCAUUUGGUUCUUUAGGUUUCUUUUGCAAUUUCUACAGCUGUCCUUCCUGCAAUUUUUCCUGUGAGAUGCCAAGAAUAAUAUUCCCCAUACAAUCUGCUGUUUUAAUUGUUGAGAAUCUCACUGCCAUUUUGAAUUAAAUACAUAAACAUGCUAAAACAUAAGGUUCUUACCUUGCUGAUCUUAACAGCCUUCCCUUAGAAGGACAGCUGCUUCUCCUUCCCCUGCCUGGUGGACCCCUUACACCACCUCCCUUACCUCUCAGAUUUCUGAUGUUAGUUGAGCUGCUGGUAACAGCAACAAUACUAGGAACACGGGAGAAUGAGAGAGUGAAGGGCAGUUACUGAGGGUGAUAUUAGAAUGAUACUGGCUGAGGAUUCAGUUGUUCUGCUGUGAAUAUUCUGUGGGUGCAGAGGUGCUGCAGACAAAAAAGCUGGACAACCUCCAGCCACAAGGGUUCGCACAUUCAGAGGGAGACAUUGAAGAAAACUCACUCAACAGACUGUGUUACUCUUAUCCUCAUGGCUUGCUUUCUCCCAUUGCCCAUGACAGAAUAAACAGCCGCCCCACUGAGCUGAAGAAUGCACAGACGCAUUAUGGGGCUGGGGGUAUCAGCCUGUGAUACAGAGGGGAAACAAGAGGAAGACAGAACAUGGAGCUGGCAUCUAAACAUCCUGUACCUUACCUUGUGACUCACUGAAAGUUGCCUUGAUCUCUGUUGCAGAAGCUGCUUCCAAGGAUGAAACCCUCUGAUUUAGAAGGGAAAUUCAGAAGGAUUUUUAAUAGUGAAGAAAACAGGAAGGGAUGACAUGGGAGGUAAUUGAUAUCACACAUUGAUCAAGGAACAUCUGAAACUGUAGAAAGGCUAACAGAAGUAUUUGGCUAAAUCUAAGAUAGUCCAAAAGAUGACUACACUGUAAAGUCAGUCCAUCGUACUACUAAUGUAACGAAUCCUGUGUCACAGAGCUGUUUUUCCCAUUCUAAUAUGCAUUAAAUACAAAAUCCAUUGAUCAGUACUGUUAGUAGUGACUCCUGCUUGACUGACAAGUAACACUGUGUUACUGGAGCGCCUCUUCCAUACAACCUUUUAAGUCAAAUGUUCUCUAGUUAUGGAUGUUCAGUUCUUGGUGUACAACAGGUUCUAGCUGACUUCCACUGAAUUCAUCAUCUACCAGUAAUUCUGCUCUUUAAAAAUAAAUCAGAUUCUUUCCUUUCCACAUACCCAAUCUUUGCAUUACUAUUUCACUCGUACACAUUCCCUCCAUGCUCUGUUGGCAGAUGGACUUCGUCUUUUUCACUGAAUAUUGACAAAGGGCUGAAUUUCCUCACAAGACUGGUAAUGAGUACAGUAUGUGAAGUAAAUGCAAUAAAAUACCAAGUUUUAUAAAAGCACAUGUAGUCUGGCAAGUGCUGGUUUCUCUUCAGCGCCUGUUUCCUAUCAUGAAUUUUGACUGUGUGAGCCAGAAAUGCACGCAGAUCUUCCUGCCUCUUCUGAAGUUUAUACACUGGGACUGAAUGAAUGCCCAUUUCUUCAUAUUGUUCAUCCAGUAAUCCACCUUCAGCAAUAAACUAACGUACAGGUAUGAGUUGCUGGUGACAAAACUAUAAAGUUGCAGAAUAUAGCUAGUUGGUGUAGAACCAAAUAAAACGGCAGUGUCCUUUUCACUGAAUGCAAACUCUGGGUUUUCACCCUUGUUAAAAAAUGGAUUUGUAGUAAAACAAAAAAUUCUUGCCCCCUCUCCUCCCCUAAAAGAAGAAAACCACCACAAAUAUUGACUUUGAGCGAAAGAAAUAACUGGUAUCAGUAAUAAUAUUGUCAGGGGCUGAGACAGCUUCUUAUGAAGGAAGUUCAUGCUUAGUUCUGACAAUUGAGCAAAAAAUUAAUCAAUCAGUUUGCAUUCAUAGGGCUCCAUUUCAAUUCUUUCUCGAAUGAUUUGCUUUAUAAAAAUUGAAACAACUGACUUUGCUUGUUAAGCAAAACAUCAAAUAAUGCAGAUUUGGCAUUUGUUUCUCAGCAUUAACGCAAUCUUACAUUUUUCUGUCCUCAGGUAUGAAACUUAAAUCACAGCCCCCGACGCUUCCUGUUGGUACUGCUAUAUCCACUGCAGGGUUUUUGUGGAAUUCCAGUUUGUUAUUUCAAUAUUUUUCUUUUGCCCAUUUCCUUUGAAACCAUCUUUGCAAACGGAAACCAUAAGUAUACUUCGGCAGGAGCUCCUUACUUUAACAACAGAACAAAAAAAGCCACCUGAAUCAGAAACAGUUUUCUGACACAAGGGAAAUGCAGAGGGAAGAGGUUGCAACCUCUUUCCAUUCUGUACUUUGCUGCUCUUUCCGUCAGCUCUAAGAGCCUGCUAUCAACUGUUCCACCUACCUUACUAAGAUAUUGCUUAAACACUGUUCUUGGGUGUCUUCAUUUUCUUACAUCUGCUGCUUUCCUUGUAACUGUUGCACAAGGGAGUCUGUAUAUUGUUAUCUGAAGUGUGUAUCUGAAAUAAGUCUGCUAUUUCCUCCCGAUUGUGGCAAUUAAGCUGUUAGCCGAUCGUCUGGAGGGGAAAGUAUGUUCCCCUGGGGCUGCAAGGACACAGGAGAUGUACAUUACAUUACCACAAUUCUAAAGAUAUGAAAUAGCACACAGGAUUGUGCAGUAAAAGGAACAAAUUAACAAGAACACGCUUUGAAAUACUACACUCAAUAUAGAAUCAUAGAAUCACAGAAUGGCCUGAGUUGAAAAGGACCACAAUGAUCAUCGAGUUUCAACUCCCCUGCUAUGUGCAGGGCCGCCAACCACCAGACCAGGCUGCCCAGAGCCACAUCCAGCCCGGCCAUGAAUGCCUACAGGCUUGGG